GACACGCCACGUCAGAAAUUGCUGACGUGAUUAAUUGUGUGGGAUCUUAAUAAGCUUACGUGGCAAAAAAUAAUAAUUUAUUAUUCAUUACAUAAACAAAUCAUUUUAUAUCAUAGACAAAAUCGUCAAUCCCCCAAUUCUAAAUUCGUCGAUCGAAUAAAAUACUUGUGCAAAAAAAAUCUUCCUGUAUUUCAUCAGAACAAUUUCAAAAUACAAACAACCAAAAAAGAUUUAAAAAAUUAAAUUAAAUUAAUUCAAAUUUCAAAUACAUGGAACAAGAACCACGCACACUCUCCUAAACCCAAAACCAAUCACCACCGCCGAAAACCUACCACCACGCCAUCCUGACCAAUCCCCACCACUACCACUAUCCCUGCCCCAUACCACUGAAAACCUCAACAACAUCACCAUCUAAACUUCUAUUUUUUUUUUCUUUCGAAAACCCACUAUCACAACUAAACUCAAAAAGUUUACUGAUGGAAAAAUAUUACAUGGAGAUCUCCGGAAGAGAAGGGGGUUGUUGCUGCCGUUCCAAGUUCUGCCCAAUUACAGUCGUAGUUCCGCCAAAUUGCAAAUCUUUCUUUUUACCCCUCUCACCCAAUUACAGUUACGCCGGGUUGCCGUGCCGUUAUAAGUGAUGAUGGCGAUGGGUCCAAUACCGGUUUUUUCGUACCCCACCCACUGUAUUUUCUUUUUCAUUUUUUAUUUUUUGGAUCUGAGAAUGCAUGGUUGUGUCGGUAUUCGGUAAAGAUCGGGAGUUAGAGAAGUGGCGCGGCAGAUAUUGAGUAUAGUUUCUGGGUUAUUCUCUGAUUUGAGAAGAGAGAGAGCAGCUCGGGACUUUAAUCGAAGCUUAUACAUAAAAUCCAUGGAUUGAUUAUAGGGUUUGGUUUUGGGGAGUAGGGUUUUACAGUGGAGAUUUGAAAAUUAGAAAGAUGGAGAGAGUUUGGUAGAGAUCGGAAAGUAGGGUUUUACAGUGUAGAUUUGAAAAUUAGGAAGAUGGAGAUUUUUGGUUGCAAAUCUUGAUCUUCGAUGUUUGGCUAAAAUGAGUUUUUUUUUUUAUGAUUUUUGAUGGUUUUAGAUUUUGUUGUUUUUGAUUAGUAUUAUUGUAUAAUAUAAAGUGGUUUGACAAAUUUACCCUUUCAUAUAUAAUAAUUGUGUAAUUAAAUAUUAAAAUAUUCUUU
rnacentral:lncRNA from 1 species